rnacentral:rRNA from 1 species
CAGAAACUCAAAGGAAGUUGACGGGGCCCGCACAAGCGGUGGAGUAUGUGGUUUAAUUCGAUGCAACGCGAAGAACCUUACCUGGUCUUGACAUCCCGGAGACCCUUAGGAAACUAGGGGGUGCUUCCAUCUGGAAGAAUCUGGAGACAGGUGCUGCAUGGCUGUCGUCAGCUCGUGUCGUGAGAUGUUGGGUUAAGUCCCGCAACGAGCGCAACCCUUGCCUUUAGUUGCCAGCAGUUCGGCUGGGCACUCUAAAGGGACUGCCGGUGUUAAACCGGAGGAAGGUGGGGAUGACGUCAAGUCCUCAUGGCCUUUAUGACCAGGGCUACACACGUACUACAAUGGCCGAUACAAAGGGCAGCGACACUGCGAGGUGAAGCCAAUCCCGUAAAAUCGGUCUCAGUCCGGAUUGGAGUCUGCAACUCGACUCCAUGAAGUUGGAAUCGCUAGUAAUCGUGGAUCAGCAUGCCACGGUGAAUACGUUCCCGGGCCUU